rnacentral:lncRNA from 1 species
CAAGAUUCUUGUUUUCAUUCCUUCUUACCGGUGGAAGCUGUGUAAAAUCAAAUACGUAGAGGUGUGUAGUGAUUUUUUAAAAGCCAACUAACCCACCGCACGGGCUGCGACGCGGAUUACCCGAGCGCACGCCGGCUGGGCGCGUUCUGGGGUCUCUGCGCAAGACCAUCUCUCAGCUCUCUCUCCCUUCCUCGGACUCUGGAGUGGGAGCGGGCCUUUCCCUCGGGCGGACCACACCGUAGGGGACGCCGUGAAAAGAGCCGUCGCGCCCGCCACCUCCUGCCCGCUGCGCAGAGGGCUCCGCCCGUAGAGCAAACUCGUAGCCAGACCAGAUGGGCCGCCCAGCUCUCUCGGGACUAGGCAGUCGUCUUCCUUGAAACAGAAAUGUAAGGUCCUCAGACGCGGAUCUCAGCACAGACUUGGUCACCAAAGGGAUGUGCAAAGGACGAAAGUGUGGGCCUCGAGACUUAAACAGAAAGGGGUGGCCGGAGACCCACCAGGUGAGACAGAGCAGAAGCCCAUGCAGCCUGCCACCUUCAGCCAGGUUUAUAGCUCGGCAGUCUUAGUUAGACGGGUCCAGAGGGCUGAGCUCUGCAGACCGCUCGGGUGCGCAGUAGCCUGCUCGGCGCAUCCCAGCCGGCGGGAGGCACUGGAGGGCCAGGAGGGCCAGGAGGCCUGAAACCCGCACUGCGGAAAACCCGACCGCAGCCGCAUCCUCAUAGAUCCCGCGACGGAAAGAGUCAGGGCGGUUUACUAAAUCCUAUCCAGUGAAAAUUCGCCCUAGGAAUUGAAGGUUGGAUGGGCCAGUAUUGAUAUAUUUUUUAAAAUCUUUACAUUUCUCAACCUAUUUCAUCGUUCUUAGAUAUUGAGAGUAUUAAAUGUAAACAAUACAAAUUUUAAUUCCCUAAGUAAUGAACCAAAAUGGCAAGGGAGAGAGAGACGGGAAAUCAACUAAUUCGUAGCCAGCCUGGCUGGCUAUUUCUCAAAAGAAAUUUCUAUGCAUUUGCUUAGGUUUGCCUAUAAAUUCACAAACGUAAAGGCUGUUAAAAUUAAUAACAGAUUGGACAAUAGAGCAGCAACACCGAUUUUGAUCCAGAUACAAAAAUGGGCCAUGCAUUGAAAUGACCUAAAAGAGAUGUGUUCAUUAAGUUCUUCUUCUCUCUUUCUCUCUCUCUCUCUCUCU